rnacentral:rRNA from 1 species
UACGUAGGGUGCGAGCGUUUGUCCGGAAUUAUUGGGCGUAAAGGGCUCGUAGGCGGUUUGUCGCGUCGGGAGUGAAAACCCAGGGCUUAACUCUGGGCUUGCUUUCGAUACGGGCAGACUAGAGGUAUGCAGGGAGAACGGAAUUCCGUGGUGUAGCGGUGAAAUGCGCAGAUAUCAGGAGGAACACCGAUGGCGAAGGCAGGUCUCUGGGACAUUAACUGACGCUGAGGAGCGAAAGCAUGGGGAGCGAACAGGA